GAUGAAGAACGUAGCGAAAUGCGAUAAGUAAUGUGAAUUGCAGAAUUCAGUGAAUCAUCGAAUCUUUGAACGCACAUUGCGCCCCCUGGUAUUCCGGGGGGCAUGCCUGUUCGAGCGUCAUUUCACCACUCAAGCCUCGCUGGUAUUGGGCAACGCGGUCCGCCGCGUGCCUCAAAUCGACCGGCUGGGUCUUCUGUCCCCUAAGCGUUGUGGAAACUAUUCGCUAAAGGGUGUUCGGGAGGCUACGCCGUAAAACAACCCCAUUUCUAAGGUUGACCUCGGAUCAGGUAGGGAUACCCGCUGAACUUAAGCAUAUCAAUAAGCGGAGGA
rnacentral:misc_RNA from 1 species